rnacentral:lncRNA from 1 species
ACUCACUGCCAUCUACAGCUCAGCUUUGGAGUCAGAAUAGCACUUUUCCUACGUUUAGUAGGACUAAGAAAGAUUUUUUUUUCUCCCCUUGGCAUAUUCCUGCAGCUGGAUAUUAGGGAAGCAAGGAAGCUGUUGAAUAGCUUUCUAGCUAACCACAUUCAUAGUAUUCUUUCUCAUCUUCCUUCAGAGUUUCUGUUUAGUUUUGUUCUGUUCUAAGGACCUAUUUCCUCUCUAAUGAAAUUUUCGUAGGACCCUGUUGUUUGAAUGUUUGUUUCUGGACCCUUUGAGGUUUCUUUACUGGCAUUGUUAUUUUGAUUGGAGAGCCAAUUUGCUAUCUGUGAACUUUUGCAGAUGCGUGAAUCGUGAGUGAGAUAGAGAGGUGACAUAUAUUUGAGUGUGUGGUAUGGGGGAGAGAAAGAGUCACUUUUUGUGCUCUUCCGGGCACGUCUUCAAACACACCAUGCUGUCCCCCACACAGUGAGUAGAAUUAUCCCAACUGUUUUUAAGUUUUAAAGUGCUAACAAACAGAAAAAACAAUGAAAAUAAUUUUCUCUUCAAGGAUCUCUGAGAACUCUGGCCACACCUCAUUCUUAAAAGCAUAAUAUGUGAGUGACUAGGACAGAAUUCUUUCCCUGGAUUCCCUUAGAGAAUGUCUCACGAAAUAACGUCUCAUGGCAAUGAAUCAUCGGCUCAGGAUCCGACCAGUAAGCCACUGGCCACAUUUCUAUUUUUAAGAGUCACUAGGAAAAGUUGGAAAUAAUUUUAGAAAAUAAAGAAAAUACUCUUUGGCCUUUCUUUCAUUUUCUUUUCAUUUGGGGAGUAAGUGGAGAAUGGGGGAAGAGAUCUCAUGUCUUUGAUUCAUGUAAAGCCAAGUUCUGGAAAUAUAGCAAACGCAGGAGAACUCUUUCUUAAGUGGUAGGAACAGUCCUAAUUCCCACAGUUUAGGUUAUCUGGUCUAUUUCAAGGUUUUGGUGCGUGAGGUUUGGUGUCAACAGCAUGAUAUGAUCUGUGGUAUACUUAGGGUUCCCAAAUAUGAAUGUAGAAGCAUUGAAAUAAUUUAUUUUAUUGGAUUUGAAUUCACUAAAUAUAGCCCUUGAGUCAUGUAUAAAAUCUCAUUGUUCUAAUAUGAAACAAAUGCUGAGUUUAUUGUCAAGCCUAAUUAACAUGUCAUGAACAUGGGGCACCUGUAAAUGAUAGAAUCUGAGUUAACAACAGCUCUCUGACUGUGUGCACGGGCUGUUUGGAGGGCUUCUUCAUGCUCAAAGUUCAACGGCAUUUAGAGUUUCAACAGUUCACUGCUUCAAUUUUUGUUUACUUUCGUUUCCCCUGGGCAGAACUCUCUAAUCUGGGUUUAACUUUUUAUACUAUACUUGUGAGAGGUGCUCAAAUUACCCUACUCCAAUAAUAGCAUACUCUUCAUAUGGGAAAUUUGAAAAGUGCCUCUGCCCACUCUAUACAGAAUUUCCUGUGCUGUACAUUUAUCCUGCUGAGACAGGAAACACAAUUAUUGUUUGGAAUUAAGCUAGACCCUUGAGGAACAUGAAGUUCUGCUUAUGGUUUCCCCACCCCCCUCCAUCAUCAGACAUGGGUGUUGUUUUAUCAGAAAUAAAUAAAAACGGAUAAUGUAGCUACAAAUAGCUACAGGGAAGGAAAAAUCUAUUUGUAAGAUUUUUAUUACUUGUGCCUAAAUAAGAUGGUUCUCUGAACAUUUGCUGACUGUUUACAAGAGAAAAAUAAUUAUUCCUGGCUUGUAAGCCUGUCAGGCCAUCACAGAAGAAGGUACAAACUAUUUCCACAUUUUUUAACCCCCUCAGUUUCUCUAUGAUUAUUCGUUGACUAUUUUAGCUGGUGACACAAUGAAAAAACAGAGUCUAAGCAAUUUCUCUAGGAAUCAAGAUUUAUCUGCAUUUUUUUUUUU